rnacentral:rRNA from 1 species
GGGUCAGGAGGUUGGUCGUGCCACCGGUACGUACUGGUCUCACUGAUUCCUCCUUCCUGAAGAACCGUAAUGCCAUUAAUUUGGUGUUGCGGGGAAACAGGACUGUUACUUUGAAAAAAUUAGAGUGUUUAAAGCAAGCUAACGCUUGAAUACAUUAGCAUGGAAUAAUGAAAUAGGACGAUCGAUCCCAUUUUGUUGGUUUCUAGGAUUGACGUA